UAAAGAAAAAACCACCGCUACCAACGGUGGUUUUUCUAAGGUUCUUAGAGCUACCAACUCUUCGAGCCGCGGUAACUGGCUUUAACGGAGCACAGUGACCAAAUCUGUCCUUUCAGUGUAGCCGUAGUAUGGCAUUCACUUCAAGAACUCUUGUUAAGUCUGUGUAUCUACUCUGCUCCGUAAACUCGUUACCAAUGGCUGCCGCCACUGGCGAUUCGUCGUGUCUGUCAGGAUUGGGUUCAAGAGUUUGUUACCUGGCAUGACGUGGUAGUCGGACUAAACGGGGAGUUCGUGCAUAUAGUCCAGCUUGGAGCGAACCAUCUACAAGGCACCCAGUUGCAUGGGAAGGAAUGAGAAAACGCCACCUUACGGCGGUCUGCAACGGGUAAACCUCAGGGUGGGAACAGGAAAGCGCACGAGGGAGCGACCCAUCGGAAACGGUGGGGAUCUUUAAGUCCUGUCAGGUUUCGCCACUUCUGAUUUGAGCGCCCGGAAAUCAUCCGAUUUCUGUGAUGUUCAUCAGGAGGGCGAAGCCUAUGGAAAA
rnacentral:misc_RNA from 1 species